rfam:Beauveria bassiana D1-5 contig01236, whole genome shotgun sequence.
UCCGGUAUGGUGUAGUGGCUAACAUCGCUCGCUCUCAAGUCAGUGCCGAGCAGCCCAGGGUUCGAUUCCCUGUACCGGAG